ensembl:lncRNA
UGAACAUAUCUUAAAAGAAAGAAGGGCUGGAUACUACUGAGUGCUAAAGCAUAAAGAUAGGAUGUAGCAAGAGAACAGAGGAUAGAAAAAAAUGUAGGUUAACCAAAAUGAAGACCUUUUUAAAAGAUUCAUGGAAAUCCAGUAGUUAGUAAGGUAAUUGAAAAAUAUAAUUUUAAAGAUAGUUCAAACAGAACUACUCUGUGUAAAUAGGCAGUGCCAGUAACAGAGGUCAUCAGUUAUUAAGUAAAAAGUUCAAUACAUGAGAUAUAUUUUUAUGAGUUAUUGGUCAAGGAGGCAAAAGAAGUCUCUACAGUAGCAAAAAGUUGCCACUGCCCUUGGUUACCCGUACUGACUACAUCAUUAGAAGACCCUGUUGCUGAAGACACCACACACUUUGGCUAUGGGACAUGGAGAAAUCAAUCUCAAAGCCAGUGAAAAACUUUCCCCUUUCUGGAGAGCAUUUUCUUCCCCUCAGGUGAUAGUUGAGCUAUUGAUAGAUAGAAGGCAUCAAUAGUUUCAACCAGUACUGGACGAGCAUGCUACGGUAUCCACCUGCCGGGCAAGAAGUGCCCACCAGCAUAGUAAUGGAAUGACUUCUCUGUGGCAUCUUACUAUACUGUGACUAGAUUUGAGACCUUCUCUGCAGGAGGGUAUUUUCUGUCUGGUAUCUUAGUCCUGGUCAAAAUCCUAUGGCUUAGGUUACAGGCUCUAGGGUAGAAUCUGCUAUUGUUGUCUUGCUAAAUGGUCAUUUUGUCAAGUUGCCUUCUAAAUAUUUAUAUUUAUACCCAUAGAUUUGUGCUAUUCUCAACUUUGAUGAAAGCAGUGAGAAGCAGUGAAAGGAGAAGCCAGAAGUCAACUUGCAUUAGAAAAUGUGCUAUUACCAAGAAGCAUGUCACCAAGACAACCGAAUAGAACUGUCCAGAGUAUGUCCUUCUGCAGAAAUAUCAAUUGAGACAACUAUCCAGGCAUGAAAUACCUUCAUAAGAACUAAACAAAACAGGGAAAGCUCCUUAAACCAGAAGAGAGUUGUGGCAAAAAAAGACACACUCAACCAAGAGUUGCGAUGAAAGCAAUGUGUCACAUGAAUUGCCAAUACUUACACUAGUUAAAAGAAGAAAGAAACAAAAGAAAAUAGAGCAUCAUUAUAUAAAAGAGUCAACUUAUCAAGCAGAACCAUCCCUUUAUUCUUCUUCUUUCCCCUACAAUGAAGUGAUUCUUUACAACAUCCUGUGCUCCUUUUAAAGCCCAUUGGUUCCUUGUGGUGCUGUCAGAAUGUACAUGAGGAACGUCUACUGAAGAAAGGAAAGCCUCUCAGAAGCCAAAUACCUGAAGAAAACUCACUCUGCCUCUCAUAAGAAUCCAUCAGUGGCCAAUAUCACCUCAGUGUUUCCACAGGACGUAUCCCAGAUGAUUGAGUCGGGGGAAAGUCUACAAAAGUUUGGAUGUUGAUUAUUUCCUAAUAUCCCAGAAAUGAGAGGAAAGCCUAAACAUGAUCUAGGAUUAAGGAUACCAGCUUUUGCAGAAGAACUAAAACAACUACCCAUGUCUAAACAAGCAACUACUAGACUCUUGGGCUUCCCAUUCACAACUGCCCAUUGUUGGGUUAGCUGGACUACUGACUAGUCACCAGCCAACAAACAGGCAUUAAAUUCACCAUCCUAAGGAAAUUAUUCAUACUCAAAACAUAACAGCCAAAAGUCAUGCACUUGAAGACUUCUGUCUCUACUCCUCUAUUCUACGGAUAAAGUGAAACCAUAACUUUCAGGAAAAGAAAACAUGAGAAUGUAGAUUACAAAAGUCGGAACUGACAAAAUACAUAAAGACCAUGGGAUGGAAUUUACAUUUUGAGGAUGGCAGAGUAAUGAAUCAGAAAGAGCCUUUGACACCAACGACUCACAGGAAGUCCCAACAUGUCUCCUUAAUAUCUUCAUAGUGGUCAUAUCAUUUGAAUAUGAAGAAGAAAAAGAGCAGGUGGAGGUAUUCAACCAUGCCGUCAAUCAACUAUGCAAUGCAACUAUGCAAUGACCAAUUAAAAGAAUAAGAAAUCUAAAUGAAUAGAUCUUUUAUUAUUAAUUUCAUUUAAUACUGGUUAAGCAAGAGAGACAGUUGAAUUAGGGUUUUUAAAAUAACA